AACGAACGCUGGCGGCGCGUCUUAAGCAUGCAAGUCGAACGGCAAGAGAGGAGCUUGCUUCUCUCCUAGAGUGGCGGACUGGUGAGGAACACGUGGGUAAUCUACCCUUAAGAUGGGGAUAGCUGCUAGAAAUAGCAGGUAAUACCGAAUACACUCGGCAUAUCACAAGAGGUGUUGAGGAAAGGAAGCUACGGCUUCGCUUGAGGAUGAGCUUGCGUCCCAUUAGCUAGUUGGUGAGGUAAAGGCCCACCAAGGCGACGAUGGGUAUCCGGCCUGAGAGGGUGAACGGACACAUUGGGACUGAGAUACGGCCCAAACUCCUACGGGAGGCAGCAGCUAAGAAUAUUCCGCAAUGGACGGAAGUCUGACGGAGCGACGCCGCGUGGAUGAAGAAGGCUGAAAAGUUGUAAAAUCCUUUUGUUGAUGAAGAAUAAGGGUGAGAGGGAAUGCUCAUCUGAUGACGGUAAUCGACGAAUAAGCCCCGGCUAAUUACGU
rnacentral:rRNA from 1 species